CCUACGGGUGGCAGCAGUGGGGAAUAUUGGACAAUGGGCAAAAGCCUGAUCCAGCCAUGCCGCGUGUGUGAAGAAGGCCUUCGGGUUGUAAAGCACUUUCAGUGGGGAAGAAAGCCUUGGGGCUAAUACCCUCGAGGAAGGACAUCACCCACAGAAGAAGCACCGGCUAACUCCGUGCCAGCAGCCGCGGUAAUACGGAGGGUGCGAGCGUUAAUCGGAAUUACUGGGCGUAAAGCGCGCGUAGGCGGUCUGAUAAGCCGGUUGUGAAAGCCCCGGGCUCAACCUGGGAACGGCAUCCGGAACUGUCAGGCUAGAGUGCAGGAGAGGAAGGUAGAAUUCCCGGUGUAGCGGUGAAAUGCGUAGAGAUCGGGAGGAAUACCAGUGGCGAAGGCGGCCUUCUGGACUGACACUGACGCUGAGGUGCGAAAGCGUGGGUAGCAAACAGGAUUAGUACCCCAGAGC
rnacentral:rRNA from 1 species